CUCAAUACCUGUUUUACGCCUCCGUUUAUAUAUGCACGAAAAACAUUACCAUUACCAACAAUAUGGGUUGCAAUAGUAAACCAAAACCGCACGUGUAAAAGAGAAAAAUGAAAAAUAUAACCUGGUUUCUGGAUUGCUAAAAAAAUUUCAACCACAUUCACAUUAUUUCCGAAAUUUUCUUAGCUAUCAUUUCACCAUGUUUGAUGAAAAAUCGUACCUCUCAAAAUUAGGAGCCUUGAAAUUUAUAAAAUCGUUAGCAAAAACAAAGUAAGACCUGCAGACAAACGCAAUGUAUGAAAACAUUUCUAACAAUAUUGGUUUCAAUAGUUAAACAUGCAUUAUAAACAAAACCCUGGUUUACAAAUUCCUAAAAAAAAAAAAUGAACUGCAUUACACCUUAUUUAUCGAAAAAUCAUACCUCUAAAAAUUAGGAGCCUUGAAAUUUACAAAAUCAUUAGCAAAAACAGAGUAAGACCUGCAGCCAAACCCAAUGCCUUUUGAGGGGAUCCUACUGUAUGUUCAGUGCCUCCGUAAUACGGUUCAAUCAUUAUCUCAAAUCUGCAAGUUCCAGUUGAUGGAUCAGAUUUGGUAAUCAUUGAAAUGUUUUCAAACUUGCAUGCACUAUCAAGCUGAUUCUGCCUCUGAUAGUAACUGUUCAAUGCAUAUGAAAUGUUCCCCUUAACAUCCAAACCUCCACAAGAAGUCCCAUAACCAAGGCUGGUGCAGUCAGCAAGUCCACAAGCAUAGCUCACACUAGGUGCCACAUUUGGGUCAUCAAUAUUGGCUGAUGACUUCAUCACACACCAUUUACCCUCCAGGUAACGGACAUUUUUUGCUUCAAUUAAAGCUAUUGAAUUUGUGGUACCAAGGUUAAGGGAGUACUUGGCUUUUCCAUCAUAUGUAAAUAUCCCCCAAUGGCGUUCGAAGUUCCCCGGAUCAAUGCUCUUAGCAUCCUCAUCAAUCAAACUAAAUAAAUACGCAUCAAUAGGUCCAGGCCUCAUUGGGGUUCCUUUCCCACCCGAAAUAUGUGACAUAAAACCUUGGUUGAAUCGUUGGGCAUAAUUUAUGUUAGCAUUUCUAUCUCCAUCAGUAGGCCACCCAAUCUCUCCAACAAUUAUAGGCAGGUUUCCAAAUCCAUUCUUUUGCAAGGAAUACACAAGAGUAUCAUAAUUAGCAUCAAACAUGUUGUAGUAAGAUGUCCCACCAUCAUUCAGAGGGGUUGCAUUUCCAUCAAAGAAGGCAUACUCCACUGGAAAGUUCGGAUCAGAAUAUAGGCUUAUGAAAGGAUAGAUAUUCACAGUAAAGGGGGAACCACUGUCACUCAAGAACUUGACAAUGGUAAGCAUGAGAUCAUGGAUAUCAGCUCGAAAGUCACCACCAGAUGGAACGCCAGUUGAGGUCCCAUAGACAUCGGCAUUCAGGGGGACAGUCACCCUUACUUGGUUGCUCAGCCCAGCUUUUACAAGGGCAGAUUGGACAUUCUGGAGAGCUGGGAAGGUCGUUUUGAGAAAGCUGCCAUUGUAUGUUUGCAAGAAAGGUUCAUUUCCAACUGCAACAUAUCUGAUAUUGACAUUAUCAGCAGAGAUAUGCGUAGAGACGUUUUUGGAAACCCAUUUCUCAGCAGCCUUCAUACUGGUAGCCAGAGAUAAAAGCAUGUCAUUUGGGAUUCCCACCAUGACCUCAAUAUUAGACUUACCAAGGGCUCUCAGUGUAUCAUAAUCUGCAUCAAAAAGCUUAACUUUUUGGAUUCCAUUUUCCCUCAGUAGCCUCACCAUAGUUUCUGGGGGCAGUGGAUGGGUUGCUUGUGUGCCCCAGUUGGCACCUAUUCCACUCACUGUACUCGCUACAGAAAGUAAUGAUAUUAAUGCAACAGCCACAGAGAACCGCCUCAUCUUUAUUCUCUUCAAAUCUGCUAGCCAGCUUCUACGCUACAGCCCACUGGAACUGACUAGAAUCUUAAACCAGCACUUGUUUUGAUGGGUUUUGGAGCACAGAUUUAUGAGACAGAAACAAGCAAGUAAAAAAUGGAAUCCUUUUUAUUUUUCUCUUUUGGUUCUAAAACCAAAUUUAGAGAAUUCCAAACACACCAGAGAGUAGGAAUUGGGAGCACAAAUGUAGCUAUGAAGAUAAAAAGAGGUGAAGCAAGUAACUAGAGAGGGAAGAGCUGAUCCAAGAACAAUAAGUAGAAAGAAACUGAUUUAUAAAGCAAAAUUUUCACAUCAGAAAUUGCAAAAUUUUCACAAUAACAUGGUUCCAGAAAUUUAAAAAAAAAAUAAGGGGAAAAAGGGUGACUGAGUAAAGUAAAGAAAUCCCAGAAAGAAAUAGUUACAGCUCAAUAUUAGACCAAAAUCUCAGAAAAGAUUCCUGAAAAUAGAGGUGGAAAACAGAAUAAAAUAUAAUACAUCAGAAAUUUCUCAUAAAGUUCUUCAAGUUGUUGAGAAACAACAGAUGGGUUAACUAAAUGAGUAAUCUGGAACUAGAGACAUGCCAACAGAAAGCAGAACUACAAAAAAAAAAUGAAGGGAAAGAAAGAGAGAGAAAGAGAGUAGGGAUCUAAACUCUCCAAGCUUCAAGGGAUGGCAACGACGUCGCCUCGGUCAGAAUCAUCAUCGUCGACGAAAAAGGAGGGAUUGGGGUGGAUAGAGUGGCUAAGGGGAUGGACGUAUGUGAUACACGAGAUGCUGUUUCAGAGAAUCAUGGCUAGUCACUUGGAAAACCCUCUUCCUUUGCCUCCCGUCAAUGACCUCACUUGCAUUGUUACUGGAUCCACCAGCGGCAUCGGCUCUGAAAUCGCCAGGCAAUUGGCAGAGUCAGGGGCUCAUGUUGUUAUGGCAGUGAGGAAUCCAAAGUUAGCCCAUGAACUGAUCCAGAAAUGGCAGAAUGAAUGGUCUGGAGUGGGCCUCCCUCUCAAUGUUGAGGUGAUGGAACUUGAUCUUCUGUCCUUGGAAUCGGUUGUGAAGUUUGCUGAAGCAUGGAAUGCGUGUUCAGGACCUUUGCAUGUUCUUAUUAAUAAUGCUGGGAUAUUUUCCAUUGGAGAACCACAAAAGUUUUCAAAAGAUGGGUAUGAAGAACACAUGCAAGUGAAUCAUCUAGCUCCGGCAUUGCUUACGAUAUUGCUUUUGCCAUCCCUAAUUAGAGGCUCUCCCAGCCGAAUUAUCAAUGUGAAUUCAGUUAUGCAUUAUGUUGGCUUUGUUGACACUGAAGACAUGAAUGUUGUUUCUGGGAAGCGAAAGUAUACAAGCUUAGUGGGAUAUGCUAGCAGCAAGUUGGCACAGGUCAUGUUUAGUAGUGUUCUUCAGAGGCGCCUUCCUGCAGAAUCUGGCAUUAGUGUAGUUUGUGUAUCACCUGGAGUUGUCCAUACAAAUGUUGCAAGGGAUCUUUCCAGAUUCGUGCAAGCAGCUUAUCACUUAAUACCCUAUUUUAUCUUUAGUGCUCAAGAAGGUGAGUAUCCCAAUGGCUUGUACACUGUUUCUUCCCAAUUCGUUGGUGAUGAUGAUGACUGCUUUGGCAUUGGAUAUUAAUAGGAAGAAACAAAAUGAGCUGUCUUGCUAUGAUAUUUUAAGAACAACCUGCCUUCAAAUCUGCUGUGAAAAAAAAAAUACCUACAAAUCCGCCGUGGAAAAAAACUAUUGUUUACUUCUAUAAGAUGAGAAGUUUGAGCUAACCUUUUUUGACUUGCCACUAAUUCAGGUUCAAGGAGUGCUCUCUUUUCAGCCACCGAUCCUCAGAUUCCAGAAUACUGUGAUUUGUUAAAAUCAGACGACUGGCCUGUAUGUGCAUUCAUCUCUCAAGAUUGUCGACCAGCAAAUCCUUCCGAAGAAGCACACAGCAUCGAGACUUCUCAUAAAUUGUGGGAGAAGACAUUGGAGAUGAUUGGUCUUCCUGCAGAUGCAGUGGAAAGAUUAAUAGAAGGGGAAGAAAUUACAUGCCGCUAUGGGAAUCAUCAGUAGUAUUAUUUGUUGCCAUGACACAAGAAAUUACUAGUUCUUACCAGGUAGUCAACACGGAAUGGUCCCAAAGUAUCAUUUGGAGCGCUUUUUAACAUUAAUUACAAAGUACUAUUUUGUAAUUUAAGUUGAAUUACUUAAUUGUGGUGGCAAUAUGGUAGUAGGCUUGCUUAUGCAAUGCAAUGGUCCCAACAUUUGUAAGCUUCUAACUUUUCAUUGUACCCUAAGCAUGAAAAUUAUUAUAAAUUAAUACUAUCAGAAGCCUUUUUUUUUUU
rnacentral:misc_RNA from 1 species